AGAUGCCAUGAGUCCAAAGGAAUCAUCCCGCCCCCAGCAGACAAGCGUGGAGCCAGCCUGCUCCUCUGGCCAAAGCAUUCCACCCCCGGACCUCUCCUCCAGGAAGAAGAGAUGUGGAAGAAGAGAUGUGGGUAUGGUGGAUUCUGACCCUUGGCUCCCCAAAGUUCCACAGAACAAUGACUAGAUCUUUACCUGGUCCACAGCCCUCCCCAGUCUGGCUGCAACCUCUCAUGAGGCUGAGCUCACCAUGAACCCCUGCUCUAGGCGUCUGCAUAGUGUUCUGUUUGUCCCCGUGACUGUCCACCUCUUCUUUGGCCUGUUGGCAUGCGCUUAUCCUCCAGACCUCAGUCCAAAGUUCAGUCCCGGAGCAGACACAACCCUGUUUGCAGAGAGCCAACAUUCUAAUUGACAGUGCGUGGUGGGAAACAGUGAACCGAGGGAAAGAGUGCCAGUGUUAGAGAGCCACAGUGCAGUGAAGAAGAGAAGGCAAGAGGAUGUGAUGCAAAAUCACAGGACCUGGCUUCCAGACCAUUCUGCUUCCAUGAGAACAUUUCAGUUGAGAACCGGAUGGCAUGAAAGUAAGCCAGAAGACACCAGGCAGGGAAAGACUGGUCUCCAGGUGCAAAUGAGGUUGGAGCAUUUGGGACUGCAAAGAAUGUGGAGCGUGGUGAAUGAGAUGGCCCUUUGUAUCAGAUGCAUGCAUGAGUGGCUGGGGUCAUGUGUGUGCUUCAGUAGAGGGUACCACGGGGACACUAAGAAAUCUGGGUUUCUUUCUGAGGGCCUGGGAAGCCACCAGAAAGCAUUGAGUAGGGAGUGGUGGAUUGAUUUAUGUGUUUAUGAAAUCAUGCUGGGUGCUGGGUGGUGCAUGCUUAUUGGGACAGAGAACAAGGUUGGAAUUGC
rnacentral:lncRNA from 10 species